AUUGAACGCUGGCGGCAGGCCUAACACAUGCAAGUCGAACGGUAACAGGAAACAGCUUGCUGUUUCGCUGACGAGUGGCGGACGGGUGAGUCAUGUCUGGGAAACUGCCUGAUGGAGGGGGAUAACUACUGGAAACGGUAGCUAAUACCGCAUAACGUCGCAAGACCAAAGAGGGGGACCCUCGGGCCUCUUGCCAUCGGCUGUGCCCAGAUGGGAUUAGCUUGUUGGUGGGGUAACGGCUCACCCAGGCGACGAUCCCUAGCUGGUCUGAGAGGAUGACACGCACGACUGGAAAUGAGACAAGGUACAGACUCAUCAGGGAGGCAGCAGUAGGGAAUCUUGCGCAAUGUGUGCGUGUUUGAAGGAGCAAAGCGGGGUGAGUGAGGAAGGUAUUCUGAUCUUAGAGCUCUGUUAUGAGGAAAGAACAAAUGUGUAAGUAACUAUGAGCGUAUGGACGGGACCUAAUCAGAAAGGCACGGCUAACUACGUG
rnacentral:rRNA from 1 species